rnacentral:lncRNA from 1 species
GUCAAUGAAUUUUUCGACUUGCGAGCAUGGGUCCAUGUCUCAGAAGAUUUUGGUGUCACAGAGAUCACAAAAGCCAUUCUACAAGCUGUCAAUCCUAGCAUUUCUUGUACCACCGACUUGAAUUUGUUUCAGCUCCAGCUAAAGGAGGAGUUAUCAGGGAAGAAACUGUUGGGAAGAAACCGAACAACCGAAACAAAGCGAAAGCACAACCGAUGUUCUUUCUCUCCUUAUAACUCCUGUCAAAAAUUAUGGCAAGCACAAUAGCACAAGAUAUGUUCUCUAGCAACCUUAAUCAACCACAAAUCAACUAAUGCAACCACAACAAAAAUAAAUAGAGACACCGAUAUUUUUACGUGGAAAACCCCUCUAAAUCAAGGGUAAAAACCACGGGACUUUAGAGUCCGAUAAAGAGUUCCACUAUCAUCAAAUGUUCAACUACAAGAUCACAAUAUCAAGCCUACAACAAGCAUUCAACUCCGACAAGGCUAACAAUAUGUAAUCUUUAGCAAAAGAGAGAAAAAUGAGAGAAUAUCACCAAAAAACGUAGCUGUUGAAAAAUGGGUAUUUCCGAUGCUACAAGUCUCGGAUGAAAAAUCCGACCGUACAAAGUCAAGAACACCUUAUCACCUAGCUGCUGUCCAAAAAUCAGCUCAAUUGAACCACGGAUGGACCUUCGAUCGAGGAGUUGAUCACUGCUGCACCAAGCUUGAAAAACUGAUUUUUUUUAUUCUCUCUUUUUCUCCAACGAGCUUCAAUCUCACUCUCUAUUUUUCUCUCUUUUAAAUUGAGAAUUUGACACUCAAUAAUAAUAGAAAGGCUGCCCACAUCCCACACAAAAAAAAAUUGGCUUUUGACAAAAUCAAAGAAAGACAAAACAUUAUGGCAGAAAAUAUGGGUUUCCCACAUAGUGGGACCCAUACCCAACAAAUCUCCCCCUCCAACUAUGUGGUGAAUGCCUCCAUGCCGGAGGUCAAAAAACAUGCUUCAAACUUUCCUCUUGGUAAGGCCUUCGUCAACAUAUCAGCACCAUUAUCAUUAGUGUGUAUCUUCUCAAGCUCUAACAGCUUAGCUUCAAGAACAUCUCGUAUCCAAUGGUACCUCACAUCAAUAUGCUUAGAUCUAGCAUGAAAAGUUGAGUUCUUAUCAAGAUGAAUAGCACUCUGGCUAUCACAGUACAGGACAUACUUCUCCUGAGUAAAACCAAGUUCAUGCACAAACUUCUUCAUCCAAAGCAUCUCCUUACACGCUUCGGUUGCUGCAAUGAACUCUGAUUCGGUGGUGGACAAUGCAACACACUUUUGCAGUCUCGAUUACCAUGCCACAGCUCCCCCUGCAUAAGUGAUUAAGUAACCUGAAGUAGAUCUCCUCGAGUCAAUGUCUCCAGCCAUGUCUGAAUCUGUAUACCCAACAAGAACAGGUUUCUCAUUGCCAAAACAAAGUUUCAUGUUGGAAGUGCCACGAAGAUAUCUCAUAAUCCACUUCACUGCAUUCCAAUGCUCUCUGCCUGGAUUAGAAAGAAACCGACUAACUGUACCAACGACAUAAGCCAAGUCUGGUCUCGUGCAAACCAUUGCGUACAUCAAACUACCCACGGUUGAAGAGUAAGGAAUUUUCUGCAUCUCUUCCUUCUCCUUUUCUGUGGAAGGACUAUGCUUAACACUCAAUCUAAAGUGCAUAGCAAAGGGAGUAUUCACCGCUUUAGCUUUGUCCAUACUAAACCUUUGAAGUACUUUCUCAAUGUACCUCUCUUGUGAUAACCAUAAUUUCUUGGCCUUUCUAUCACGUGUCAGUCUUAUGCCAAGAAUUUGCUUUGCUGGCCCCAAAUCCUUCAUUGCAAAGGAUUUACUCAACUCUUGUUUCAACUUCUCAAUUCUAGAAGCAUUCUGACCAACAAUAAGCAUAUCAUCAACAUAGAGCAAAAGAAUAAUAAAAUCAUCACAAGAGAAUCUCUUAACAAACACACAAUGAUCAGAAGUAGUCUUCUUGUAGCCUUGCUCCCCCAUAACAGACUCAAACUUCUUGUACCAUUGCCUUGGAGCUUGCUUCAAACCAUACAAGCUCUUCUUCAAUCUGCACACAUAGUCCUCUUUCCCUUGUGCAACAAAACCCUCUGGCUGCUCUAUGUAAAGCUCUUCUUCCAAGUCAGCAUGAAGAAAAGCAGUUUUCACAUCCAUUUGUUCAACCUCUAGGUCAUAACAAGCUGCCAAACUCAGUAUAGUUCUGAUAGAGGACAUCUUCACAACCAGAGAAAAUAUUUCUUCAAAAUCAACCCCAUUUUUCUGAGUAUAACCCUUGACGACCAAUCUAGCUUUGUAUCAUGGAGAUGAAGACUUCUCUUCUUGCUUCAACCUGUAAACCCACCGAUUCUUCAAAGCUCUUUUGCCCUUAGGCAGUUUCACCAAUUCAAAAGUAUGGUUCUCAUGCAAGGAUUGAAGUUCGUCUUUCAUCGCUUCAACCCACUGAUCUUUGCAUUCACUCUCCAUAGCCUCUUCAUAACAUUCAGGUUCUCCCCCGUCAGUCAAAAGAACAUAUUCAUCAGGAGAAUACCUGACAGAAGAUCGUCGAUCUCUGGAAGACCUUCGAAGUGGAACUGCUGGUGGAGCUAUAGGUGCUUGUUGUUGAUCAUUCACAACAUCAUCCAUGGGAGUAUCAAAGUCACCUAUAGUCUGAUGGUCACCACUAACAUCACCAUGCACAUCAUCCUGGAUAGGAUCUAGUGAAGAGUCUAGGGGAACCGGAUUCACAUCGAUCAAGUCACCACUACCUUGUGAAUCCACUUUCUCCGUCUUAUCAAUGUCAUCAAUGGUCUGAUCCUCAAUGAAGACAACAUCUCUGCUUCUCACGAGUUUCUUCUGAACUGGAUCAUAGAGUCUAUAACCAAACUCACCAUCUAGACCAUAACCAAUAAAAAUGCAUUGUCGAGCCUUGGCAUCUAACUUGGAUCUUUCAUCCUUUGGAACAUGAACAAAUGCUUUACAACCGAACACACGUAGGAGAUCAUAUGACACGUCUUUACCAAACCAAACUCUAUCUGGCACAUCACCUUUCAAAGGAACACUAGGAGACAGAUUUAUCACAUGUGUCACUGUAUUCAAAGCUUCAGCCCAAAACGAUCUUGGUAACUUUGCAUCUGAAAACAAACAUCUGACUCUCUCAAUCAAUGUUCGGUUCAUUCUUUCAGCUAACCCAUUUAACUGUGGAGUCUUUGGUGGUGUUCUCUGAUGUCUGAUUCCCUGUCGCAGACAAUACUCAUGAAACGACCCUGUGUACUCGCCACCAUUAUCAGUACGAAUGCACUUCAACUUCUUCCCAGUUUCCCUUUCAAUUGAUGCUUGAAACUGUUUAAACACCUCAAAGACUUGAUUUUUAGACUUCAAAGUGUAAACCCAUAGCUUUCUUGAACAAUCAUCAAUGAAAGUCACAAAGUAAAGUGCACCACCAUGUGAUCUUACUUUUAUCAGACCACAAACAUCUGAAUGGACCAACUCUAGCAACUCUGAUUUCCUAUGAGGAGGAUGGCUUCUAAAUGAAACUCUUUUCUGCUUUCCUACUAGACAAUGAGCACAAUUCUUCAGUGUAGCAUUCUUUAAACCUGAAAGUUGAUUCUUCUUCGCUAAACAGCUAAGCCCCUUCUCACUCAUGUGACUGAGUCGUUUAUGCCACAACUCAAUUGAGCUGUCAUUCAGUGUCACAUUCACCGUCUCUCGAGAAGUCAAAGCUUGCAUCAAGUACAAAUUUGAGCUCUUAUUUCCUCGAGCCACAACCAAGGAGCCUUUAGUCAGCUUCCACUACCCUUCACUGAAGGUGUUACAGAAUCCCUCAUCAUCAAGCUUUCCUGCAGAAAUCAAAUUCAAACGGACAUCCGGUGCAUGUCUGACAUCCCUGAGAGUUAACUUUGUUCCAUUGUUACUUACCAAGCUAACAUCUCCCAUACCAAUAACCGAAACCAAACCAUCAUUACCCAUCUUCAAUACCCCAAAAUCACCAGGAGUAUAAGAUGUGAAGAAUUUCUUCCUCGACGUGACAUGAAGUGAUGCACCAGUAUCAAUCACCCAACUAGUCUCGUCGCAUGCUAGGUUGACCAAAUUCUCAUCACAAAUAACUAACAGAUCUUCACGAGUAACAGUAGCAACACGCUCGGAUUUUUCAUCGUCAUUCCGAUCGUGUUUAUCACCACCACCUUUGUUCUCUUUCUUCCACUUGAAGCAAUAUUUCUUGAUAUGACCUUUCUUACCACAAUGAUGACACUCAAGAUUCUUGUAUCUCGAUCUUGACUUGCUUCGGCUUUUAUCUCUACCCUUUCCAUCUUUGUCUCUAUUUCUCCCCCUGUUCUCGAUAACCAACACCUCGGACUGUGAUGUAGAACCCUGAGAUCUUCUUCUAACCUCUUCAUUCAACACACCACUCUUAGCCAAAUCCAAAGUAAUAAUACCCUGUGGGGCAGAAUUAAUGAGUGAGACUCAAAAGGUCUCCCAAGAGUCUGGUAGAGUAGCAAGCAACCAAAGUCCUAAAAUCUCGUCAUCAAAUUUGACACCCAUACCAAGCAACUGAUUCAUCACACUCUGAAAUUCACUAAUAUGGUCAGCUAUAGACAUUCCUUCUUUAUAUUUCAGCGCCAUCAUUUUCUUCAGCAAAAAUAACUUGUUAUUGCCCGACCUCGAAGCAUACAAGCUUUCAAGCUUCUCCCACAAUGUUCGAGCAUGUGUCUCUUGAUCAAUGUGGUUGUAAACAUUUUCUUCAACAAAUUGCCGAAUAAAGCCACACACUUGUUGAUGCUCAAAUUCCCAUUCUUCAUCACUUUUCGAAUCGGGUUUUUGAGUAGUAAAGACCGGAAGAUGCAAAGCCUUCACAAACAACAAGUCCUUCAUUUUAUUCCGCCAAAGUUGAUAAUUUGUGCCAUUCAACAUAAUCAUCUUGCUCGUAUUAAUUUCCAUAAUUACCUGACACAAUAACCAAGCUCUGAUACCAGUUUGUUGGGAAGAAACUGAACAACCGAAACAAAGCGAAAGCGCAACUGGUGUUCUUUCUCUCCUUAUAACUCCUGUCAAAAAUUAUGGCAAGCACAAUAGCACAAGAUAUGUUCUCUAGCAACCUUAAUCAACCACAAAUCAACUAAUGCAACCACAACAAAAAUAAAUAGAGACACCGAUAUUUUUACGUGGAAAACCCCUCUAAAUCAAGGGUAAAAACCACGGGACUUUAGAGUCCGAUAAAGAGUUCCACUAUCAUCAAAUGUUCAACUACAAGAUCACAAUAUCAAGCCUACAACAAGCAUUCAACUCCGACAAGGCUAACAAUAUGUAAUCUUUAGCAAAAGAGAGAAAAAUGAGAGAAUAUCACCAAAAAAUGUAGCUGCUGAAAAAUGGGUAUUUCCGACGCUACAAGUCUCGGAUGAAAAAUCCGACCGUACAAAGUCAAGAACACCUUAUCACCUAGCUGCUGUCCAAAAAUCAGCUCAAUCGAAUCACGGAU